UUUCCGGUUGAUCCUGCCGGACCUGACUGCUAUCGGAUUGAUACUAAGCCAUGCGAGUCAUUGUAGCAAUACAAGGCAGACGGCUCAGUAACGCGUAGUCAAUCUACCCUAUGGACGGGGAUAACCUCGGGAAACUGAGAAUAAUACCCGACAGAACAUUAUGCCUGGAAUGGUUUAUGUUUUAAAUGAUUUAUCGCCGUAGGAUGGGACUGCGGCCUAUCAGUUUGUUGGUGAGGUAAUGGCCCACCAAGACUAUUACAGGUACGGGCUCUGAGAGGAGUGGCCCGGAGAUGGGUACUGAGACACGGACCCAGGCCCUAUGGGGCGCAGCAGGCGAGAAAGCUUUUCAAUGUGCGAAAGCACGACAAGGUUAAUCCGAGUGGUUUCUGCUAAAGAAACCUUUUGUUAGUCCUAGAACCACUGACGAAUAAGGGGUGGGCAAGUUUUGGUGUCAGCCGCCCCGGUAAAACCAGCACCUCAAGUGGUCAGGAUGAUUAUUGGGCCUAAAGCAUCCGUAGCUUGCUUUGUAAGUUCUCGGUUAAAUCCAUGCGCUUAACGUAUGGGCGGCCGGUAAUACUGCAAAGAUAGGGAGUGGGAGAGGUAGACGGUACUCGGGAGGAAGGGGUAAAAUCCUUUGAUCUAUUGAUGACCACCUGUGGCGAAGGCGGUUUACCAGAACACGUCCGACGGUGAGGGAUGAAAGCUGGGGGAGCAAACCGGAUUAGAUACCCGGGUAGUCCCAGCUGUAAACUAUGCAAACUCAGUGAUGCAUUGGCUUGUGGCCAAUGCAGUGCUGCAGGGAAGCCGUUAAGUUUGCCGCCUGGGAAGUACGUACGCAAGUAUGAAACUUAAAGGAAUUGGCGGGAAGGGCGAAUU
rnacentral:rRNA from 1 species